UACGUAGGCAGCGAGCGUUGUUCGGAGUUACUGGGCGUAAAGGGCGCGUAGGCGCCUUCUAAGUCAGACGUGAAAUCCCUCGGCUCAACCGGGGAACUGCGUCUGAGACUGGAAGGCUUGAAUCCGGGAGAGGGAUGUGGAAUUCCAGGUGUAGCGGUGAAAUGCGUAGAUAUCUGGAGGAACACCGGUGGCGAAGGCGGCAGUCCUGGACCGGUAUUGACGCUGAGGCGCGAAAGCCAGGGGAGCAAAGCGGG
rnacentral:rRNA from 1 species